rnacentral:rRNA from 1 species
UACGUAGGGCGCAAGCGUUGUCCGGAAUUAUUGGGCGUAAAGAGCUCGUAGGCGGCUUGUCACGUCGGCUGUGAAAGCCCGGGGCUUAACCCCGGGUCUGCAUUCGAUACGGGCUAGCUAGAGUGUGGUAGAGGAGAUCGGAAUUCCCGGUGUAGCGGUGAAAUGCGCAGAUAUCGGGAGGAACACCGGUGGCGAAGGCGGUUCUCUGGACCGUACCUGACGCUGAGGAGCGAAAGCGUGGGGAGCGAACAGG